UCCACGCCCUAAACGAUGAAUGCUAGUCGUCGCUAAGCUAGUCUUAGCGGUGAUGCACCUAACGGAUUAAGCAUUCCGCCUGGGGAGUACGGUCGCAAGAUUAAAACUCAAAGGAAUAGACGGGGACCCGCACAAGUGGUGGAGCAUGUGGUUUAAUUCGAAAAUACGCGAAGAACCUUACCUAGCCUUGACAUUGAUUGAAUCCAGCAGAGAUGCAGGAGUGCCUUUCGGGG
rnacentral:rRNA from 1 species